UACGUAGGUGGCGAGCGUUGUUCGGAUUUAUUGGGCGUAAAGGGUCCGCAGGGGGUUGAUUAAGUCUGACGUGAAAUCCCUGAGCUCAACUCAGGAACUGCGUUGGAGACUGAUUGACUAGAGUAUUGGAGAGGUAAUUGGAAUUCCAGGUGUAGCGGUGGAAUGCGUAGAUAUCUGGAAGAACAUCGAAAGCGAAGGCAGAUUACUGGACAAUAACUGACCCUCAGGGACGAAAGCAUGGGGAGCAAACAGG
rnacentral:rRNA from 1 species